rnacentral:rRNA from 1 species
UACGUAGGCAGCGAGCGUUGUUCGGAUUUACUGGGCGUAAAGAGUGCGUAGGCGGUUUUCUAAGUUUGGUGUGAAAUCUCCCGGCUUAACUGGGAGGGUGCGCCGAAGACUGGAAGGCUUGAGUAUGGGAGAGGUAAGCGGAAUUCCUGGUGUAGCGGUGAAAUGCGUAGAUAUCAGGAGGAACACCUGCGGUGUAGACGGCUUACUGGACCAUAACUGACGCUGAGGCGCGAAAGCGUGGGGAGCAAACAGG